rnacentral:rRNA from 1 species
AACCUAGCGGCGGACGGGUGAGUAAUGCUUAGGAAUCUGCCUAUUAGUGGGGGACAACAUUCCGAAAGGAAUGCUAAUACCGCAUACGUCCUACGGGAGAAAGCAGGGGACCUUCGGGCCUUGCGCUAAUAGAUGAGCCUAAGUCGGAUUAGCUAGUUGGUGGGGUAAAGGCCUACCAAGGCGACGAUCUGUAGCGGGUCUGAGAGGAUGAUCCGCCACACUGGGACUGAGACACGGCCCAGACUCCUACGGGAGGCAGCAGUGGGGAAUAUUGGACAAUGGGGGGAACCCUGAUCCAGCCAUGCCGCGUGUGUGAAGAAGGCCUUUUGGUUGUAAAGCACUUUAAGCGAGGAGGAGGCUACUAGUAUUAAUACUACUGGAUAGUGGACGUUACUCGCAGAAUAAGCACCGGCUAACUCUGUGCCAGCAGCCGCGGUAAUACAGAGGGUGCGAGCGUUAAUCGGAUUUACUGGGCGUAAAGCGUGCGUAGGCGGCUGAUUAAGUCGGAUGUGAAAUCCCUGAGCUUAACUUAGGAAUUGCAUUCGAUACUGGUCAGCUAGAGUAUGGGAGAGGAUGGUAGAAUUCCAGGUGUAGCGGUGAAAUGCGUAGAGAUCUGGAGGAAUACCGAUGGCGAAGGCAGCCAUCUGGCCUAAUACUGACGCUGAGGUACGAAAGCAUGGGGAGCAAACAGGAUUAGAUACCCUGGUAGUCCAUGCCGUAAACGAUGUCUACUAGCCGUUGGGGCCUUUGAGGCUUUAGCGGCGCA